UCCACCUCCAAAAUCAAUCAAUGCAUCACCUAUACCUAUCCUCCUGUUUCUUCUUCACCGUCUACCACAAUCGUCUUAAUUUCUCUCCAGAACCUCUGAUUAUCGAGCUUUUAGCAGGGUAAUAUACGGACGGCUCGUGGCGGAAAUUGUUGUUUCUACCGUUGAAGCAACCAUGAUUUUGCAGCCAUGGCGUUCACCCUGCUCACAAUCUUGACCGAUGAGGUAGGGAGGCGAUUAAUUGGGCGUUAAAGACGACUACGCCAUAAAAAAUUGGGAGCCUUCGAUUAUCUCCACCCUUGUGUCCACAAUCUUCUCCGAUGAAGUAUUUAAAUUAAUGGAUUUCUUUACAGCCACAGAAGCUUUCUCACAUCAUCAUGCUUUCUUACGUCAUCACUGGAAAUGGAGGAAAGCAAAAGAUGGGAUUUAUUUUGAUGUGGGUUUAAUUUGCUUCUAUUUGUCCAUUUGUUUGAUUGCAAUGGCUUAGCCUCGCCCGCCUCCUAAACCCACAUAGGGUGUUUGGAUAUGCGUUAGGGAUGGAUGGAUUGAAUUAGCUUUUCGGAUUUUGUGGCUUAAUUUAUUUGUGUUGUUCACAAACUUAUUAAUUGUGUUUGGUUCUAAGCUUUGGGAUUCAAAUCAUGGAUAUGAAGUUGUUGAAGGAUGGUAACUGGAAAGGGUUUCAUCGGUUUGAAUUCGAAAUAUUUGGUGGUGGUGAAGGAAGAAGUUGUUGAAGGAUGCAAGGAAUCAGCUGCGAUUUUGUACAUUUAUGUUUGAUAAUUUGACCUAAUGAGAACUAUAAUCUUCUAUAAAAUGAAUUGAAGUAAGUUUUGUUAAGUUUGAACUCAGAAUUAUGCCGGUUGUUAUUUGGGUCUAUAUCUCUUAAAUUAUGCAUAACUUUCUUUUCUUAUUGCAAUACUCAUGUUGAAGACAACUCUUUUGUUUGGUAUUCUACUGAUAUCGUAGUUUUACGUCACGAUGAAACUGAGAAAAUGUUGAAAUUGUCAUAGGUAAGGCGGUUAGACGGCAUGCUGAUGUUUCCGAGGCGGUUAGACGGCAUGCUGAUGUUUCCAAGGCGAUUAGACGGCGUGCUGAUGUUUCUGAGGCGGUUAAACGACAUGCUGAUGCAUUGAUAUCACAAUGACUUCUUAUCGAUGAUUUGACAAAUCAGAACGGUAAUGUAUCAAUGAUCAAGUUGGUUAAGUACAUUAAGGAAACAUCCUAUUAUUGGUACCUUCACAUAUCAAGCUUCUUGGAGUUAUCAUGGGGGUGAAUGGAGACAAGUGUCUAGGCUUUGAAGUAUGUAGGCUGAUUUUAUUUAUGUUUUGAUUCUGUUGUAUGUUAGUCUCCAUAGCAUCUUGGUAUGGAGUUGUUUAAACUUUUUAAUUUGUUUAUAAUAAAGUUCAGUUUCAAUAAAUAAAAGUUGUUAAUCCA